AUAAAACGCUUUGGAACGAGGAUCCAUUCUGCCGUACUAGCGAUUGCUCGCAGGAUUGGAACGAAAUCUCCCGUGCAAGUGCUGGGAAUUCUGCAUCAACUUGAAGACAGAGCAAGCUACACGUACGGGAUGACCACUUUAGCCGAUGUCUUCUUGCACAGGCAGACAGACAGGUUGUAACAGACAGGUAGAGAGCCUAGGGUUCGUAGAGAGCCUAGUAGCAGUUGAUAUCAAAUAGUGCAAGGUGACAGUGUAAAUUAUUCAUCAUGCAGACAGGUAGCUGGAAAUGUUCUCAGACCCAUAUAAAGACUGACUCAAAGGGCAAUUGAUGGAAAUUAUGCAGCAAGUUUUGCAUGUCAUCUGGAAAGAGAAGAAUUUCUCACACAACUUGCAGAAGAACUAACAGAUGAGGAUGAGUUAGCAGAUGAAGAAUCUGAGGCAAAGAAACUAAUAGCUGAAGAAGAGAGAGCAUUCCUUGACGAAACACACAGAACAUAUGCAUCACAGACCGGCGUCCUUAACCCUUAUAACCUCAUGAAAUAUUCAAGAAGAAUGUAUGCUGAUUUGUUGCCAGAUCAGGAAGAAGACAUCGUACUUCCUGCUGAGACAUUGUGGUUCUUGGAAAAGAAAAUGUGGACUUUCUGGGGCUAAUAUUGAAAGAAGCACAUUGGAUGUAAGGUCCUCAAGCAACUCCAAAUUAUUUUUAUGCUAAGCAAGAAAACCGGUGUGGGGUGACCCACAGAGAUUUACACUGAGAACUAAAUCGGAGGUGAUAUGCGCUGCGAUGCAGACAGUCCCAAAUCGUGAUUUGGACACAUUCUUUAGCAGAAUAGCUAAGUGUAGCAUGACCCCAUUUAAUACCGAAGUACGUAAUACAUCUAGUGACGAAGACGAUUCAGUGAAGAACGUGCAGGUAGGUAAACGACAAUGAUGACUGACUAAACUGGAGAAAUCAGCUACUAUUGCAACACGAAAGCUCUUCUAUAUAUAUAAGAGACAGACAACAUCUGUUGGUAGGGUAUACCACUCUUUACAAUUGUAUGCAUAUAGUCAUUAUUCAAUUGUACUAACUUGUUGUUUGAGUUGAAAUCUGUUCUGGAGCAACUUUACCACAGACGCGCCAUACUGAUAAUGCUUCAACUAUGUGUCUCUCCAGUAUCACAUAAUCAAUGACAUCACGCUCUUUCCAGUCAUCCC